rnacentral:lncRNA from 1 species
AUGGUGGUGUCCUCUCAAAGCAAGUCAAACACUUCAAAAUAACUUAUCUUAUCCAAGCAAGAGUUUGCAUGAAUGUUUGAUACUAGCUUUGUGUUCACAUUAGCACUACUGCUGCAAUGAGGGAAGUCGCAGAGGCAUCCUUGGAGCAGUGCUCUCACUGUGUUAUGCAUCUCUGGUGUUCGGUGUCUGUGAAUGGAAGGAAACCACAAGGAGAAGCACUACAACCUCAGACUGCACACAGCUGCACAUGGCUUCACCCUUCGGGCCUGCUUGUUUCAGUUUGUAUCCUAUCUCAAACAAAAGGCUUUGCCUGAAUCCGUCAUGAAGUCACCAACUAGGACUGCAAGAGGAUUUUGUUGAACCUAAACUUCUCAGUGGUAGAAAAAGCUCCUGCCCAUUGGCUCACAGAAGCACAAAAGCAGAGCAGUUUUAUUGUCUUAUCUCCUCAGCAGGCAGACAUUCUUUCUCCUACAGAUCACCAUUAUGGUAACAAAACCUUAUCUGCAUGACUAACACCAUAAUGUCUUAAUCCACUUAAUGGUAUAGAUGCAUUUCAUAUCAGACCAUUGGGAUUCAAUUUCCUAACCUUUAAAGCAAGUAGUGGUCUCACAGUGCUCUCUUCCAAACUUUUCUCUUUCCAUAUUGGUCUCUUGCCUACUUGCUUGUUGAGAGUUGUGGCUUUUGUGACAGAUGAACCCUGCCAAACCUGCUAGGAGGAAGUCCUGCCCAUCUCAUACUUCCACUGGUUUUAGUAAGAGUUUGGCAGAAUUCUAUCCUGCUCCUGAUAUCAAAUCUAGCUGUAUGAGAACAGAGACAAAAACUGAAUGCCACCUUCUCAGUGAAUAGAAUACAGCGCAGCUCCACUGAUUUGUACCAGAUGACCAGAUACUGCAUACUUUUCAGACCCAAAGUUUUCACCUAGUGAAAGGUUUUUGGAAAAAUGACUAGGAGCUGAAAACCAUAUUCAUAGAGAAUGCAGUUUUUAUUUUAACUAAUCUCAUUAAUACAAAGACUAGUUUGAAGAAAUAAAGUUCUCUUCCCCAUUUAUUUCUAAAUCUUC